UACGAAGGGGGCUAGCGUUGUUCGGAUUUACUGGGCGUAAAGCGCACGUAGGCGGAUUGUUAAGUCAGGGGUGAAAUCCUGGAGCUCAACUCCAGAACUGCCUUUGAUACUGGCAAUCUCGAGUCCGGAAGAGGUAAGUGGAACUCCUAGUGUAGAGGUGGAAUUCGUAGAUAUUGGAAGAACACCAGUGGCGAAGGCGGCUUACUGGUCCGGAACUGACGCUGAGGUGCGAAAGCGUGGGAGCAAACAGG
rnacentral:rRNA from 1 species